rnacentral:tRNA from 1 species
GGGCUCAUGAGGUAGUGGAUAGCCUGACAGGCCUCGGACCUGUAUGCCGGGGUUCGAAUCCCCGUGAGCCCA